rnacentral:tRNA from 1 species
GGUGGUUCAGUGGUAGAGUGCUUGCCUUGUAUGCAUGAAGCCUGGGUUCGAUUCCUCAGCACCA